AGUGAACGCUGGCGGUAGGCCUAACACAUGCAAGUCGAACGGCAGCACAGUAAGAGCUUGCUCUUACGGGUGGCGAGUGGCGGACGGGUGAGGAAUACAUCGGAAUCUACUUUUUCGUGGGGGAUAACGUAGGGAAACUUACGCUAAUACCGCAUACGACCUACGGGUGAAAGCAGGGGAUCUUCUGACCUUGCGCGAUUGAAUGAGCCGAUGUCGGAUUAGCUAGUUGGCGGGGUAAAGGGCCACCAAGGCGACGAUCCGUAGCUGGUCUGAGAGGAUGAUCAGCCACACUAGAACUGAGACACGGUCCAGACUCCUACGGGAGGCAGCAGUGGGGAAUAUUAGACAAUGGGCGCAAGCCUGAUCCAGCCAUACCGCGUGGGUGAAGAAGGCGUUCGGGUUGUAAAGCCCUUUUGUUGGGAAAGAAAAGCAGCAGGUUAAUACCCCGCUGUUCUGACGGUACCCAAAGAAUAAGCACCGGCUAACUUCGUG
rnacentral:rRNA from 1 species